UACGUAGGGUGCGAGCGUUGUCCGGAAUUAUUGGGCGUAAAGAGCUCGUAGGCGGUGUGUCACGUCGGCCGUGAAAACCUGCAGCUUAACUGUGGGCGUGCGGUCGAUACGGGCAUCACUGGAGUUCGGCAGGGGAGACUGGAAUUCCUGGUGUAGCGGUGAAAUGCGCAGAUAUCGGGAAGAACACCCGUGGCGAAGGCGGCUCUCUGGAACGCAACUGACGCUGAGACGCGAAAGCGUGGGGAGCAAACAGG
rnacentral:rRNA from 1 species